rnacentral:rRNA from 1 species
CCUACGGGAGGCAGCAGUGAGGAAUAUUGGUCAAUGGGCGCGAGCCUGAACCAGCCAAGUAGCGUGAAGGAUGACUGCCCUACGGGUUGUAAACUUCUUUUAUAAAGGAAUAAAGUGAGGCACGUGUGCCUUUUUGUAUGUACUUUAUGAAUAAGGACUGGAUAACUCCUUGCCAGCAGCCGCGGUAAUACGGAGGAUCGGAGCUUUAUCCGGAUUUUUUGGGUUUAAAGGGAGCGUAGAUGGGUUGUUAAGUCAGUUGUGAAAUUUUGCGGCUCAACCGUAAAAUUGCAAUUGAUACUGGCAGUCUUGAGUACAGUUGAGGUAGGCGGAAUUCGUGGUGUAGCGGUGAAAUGCUUAGAUAUCACGAAGAACUCCGAUUGCGAAGGCAGCUUACUAAACUGCCACUGACAUUGAUGCUCGAAAGUGUGGGUAUCAAACAGGAUUAGAUACCCCAGUAGUC